AGGGGUUUAGGUUAAACCCUAGACCGAGAGCCUUCAAAGCCCUAAGCAAGUACAUACUACUUAACCCCUG
rnacentral:tRNA from 1 species